AGCAAAAGUAGUUGGAAGUUGAAUGAUAAUGAUUGAAAUAAAGGCAAAAGAUGUGGCUAUGACAAAGUGAAUGUGAUUGUGUCUAAGACACUCACCACAGACCAUAACAUCAAAAACUAAAUUUCAAAUCCCCAAAUCGUGGCACAUAACAAUGCCACUCUUUUUCUUUCUCUUUUUUAAUGCUCUCACAAUUUCUCUCUCUCACACUUUUCUUACACAAAAAGCUUCAUAUUCCAUUUCCCUGUGAAGUGUGAAGUUGCUUUGUCUCAUUCAAACUCAGCAACUACUCACCCACCUAAAUCCAACCCCUUAUUCUUCUCAUUUACAACUCAACUCUUCUUAUUUCAAUUCAACCCUUUCUACAUUCAACAAUGUAACAUAACACCAUUCAAAAAAUGCAACUUUAGCUUGCCACCUGUGUAGAUCUGAAACACCUGGGAUCUAAAAAAGAACAGAUUUUUAGUUCUGGGUUCUGUUCUUUGCUCUAUUGGGUAUUCGAGAAAGUGUUUUUUUUCUGGAAAUUUGUGGAGCCAUUGUUUGGCUAAAAAAUGGGGUCCAAUGGUAGCAAAGCCACUUCAUCUUGUAGUUCAUCGUCGUGUUCUGGAAGUUUUCAGAAGGGUCGAUCUAAAAAGUAUAGAGGGUUUCAAUCUUUUUGUAUAGGAACAACAUCUGGAUCUCAUGAUAGUGAUAAUGACGAGAUCUGUGGUCAGAAUAAAGUAAAUGGAAAUGAUGUUACAUACACCCGAGGCAACGAAAUAGACUCAGAUGAAGUGAAAAUAGAUUCUUUUAGAAAGGUUAAAUCUGAUGAGUCUUGCAUUCAUCCUAACCUUGACCAUGAUGAGUGGGGUGACACUGAAUCCAGAACCGGCAUCAGUUCUGCCCAUGCUUCUUCAACUCAGUCCUUGAACCCUUCAAAUCGAUUGUUUUCUCGCUUUAGCCUCAUUCCUGGUAAUAUAAGCUUCAGACUUAGCAGAACUACCAGUUUAGGGUCAUCGAGGCCUUGUCCUGUUUCUUCUGCAAGCCCUUCGGUAUUUAACAACGAAGGUGAGCGUAAUCUGCAUCCACAGCUUCCAACUAGCUCGAUUAGUAGAAAUGAACCUCAACAAGGUAGUGACCCGCGUAAUGCAUCACUUGUUAAUCAAGUUCCUAUACAGUAUCAUGAAGAUGCUUCUAAUAAUUUAAGAUCUAUCACCUCAGCAGUGGUUUCACCUCGUAGCUUACAGAGAAGUCCGUCGAUUUAUCCUAUUCAGGAUGUGGUUACAGAUGGAGAUGGUACAAGAGAAGUGCAGGAUUUGGACUUAUUUGCUCCAAGAAUUCAAAAUGAGUCUGAAAAUCUAGAUACUAGACAUUCUAAUAGACGAAAUGGAGUUCGAGAACAUGUUGAA
rnacentral:lncRNA from 1 species